CUCAUUUUCUACAUUUCUUUACCUAUGUUUGUCAUUAUUGCUGCUGUUUUAAUAAAGCAGGAUAAAAUAAGAGAUCUAUGCUACAGAGGUGAAACCGGAAGUGAAAGGUCUGUGUCAGUAGAAGACAGCAUUAACAGCAAAUUAUCCUCAACUGUAAGCAACAGUCUCUAACAACUUUGGCCUGAAGAGAAGAUAAACCCAAAUAAAUCAUCAGAAACUGGCCUAAACCAAGAAGAGAUAAAAACAUAAUUUAUUCCUCACCUCUGUUGUCACUACUGAAGGUUUAAAUUAUGAAAUAAUAAAU